AUGCCUCUGUUCUGGUUUUGGGGUGUUUUUUUGGGGGGGUGUUGUUUUGUUUUGUUUGGGGAGGUGCUUACUAUUUUCUUUUUUGUUUUUUUUUCUCCCUUUAUCUGUCUUUCAUUUCUCAUUUCUUUACCUCUUCUCAGACAGUUCUGUGUCAGCCAUGGACAGAGGACAGAGGCCUUGGAGUCAGACAAGUUGCAUGGCAGGCCAAGCUCUAGAACCAAGCAGAGUGACCUAGAACAGACUAACCAGACAGUUCCCAGCACCUCUAAAGCCAAUCCUCGGGUCAAAAUUUAUCAAAGAAAUUUCAAGAUAUUAUGACACUUCAGCGGCACAAGGCACUCACGUUGGGAAAAGCGGCCUGACCCAAUGUGGAUGAACCUGUUACCCGAAGGAGGAGAUGCAGGCAUACACAACCACGAGAACCGUCACGAGCCAUCUUGUACUAAGCAGGUUCUUUAGAUAAGUGCGACACAUGUGGCCACCUGGGUAUCCCUCCCUUGUCUCGAAUCUCUCCCACGUACUCCUUCCCACUUCCCCAUCCUGGUCUUUGAAAUGUGUUGAUCCUUCAAUCAAGUAGGAACGUGUCAAACUGUAAGAGCUAAAGGGACAGACGCAGAGGUGAAAUCCCCAAAUGAUCCUGGGAUGUACAGACGAGGGACGCCUCAGGCUUUAUCGCCUUUCACGCAUUCACUUCUCACCCAGCAAAUGCUGGUUCUGUGCCUCCUGUGUUCCAAACACUGCCCCGGUUUCCGGGGGAUGCACCUGUCUGUGUGAGGAGGGUGACCUUGUCCUCCUGAAGUCCACGGUCGCACAGAAUUCCUCCAGAGGAUGUUAGGAUCUGGAAUUAAGCAGCUGUCAACUUUCAACCUACUGGGCCUCUGAAGGAUGGAUGAGCUGCCGGAGGAUUAGCAGAGUGACUCAGCCAGGCUGGGGACUGCUAAUAGGUGACACCUGUCUUAGGCAUACAGGUGAUAGAGGUAGAGCAUGUUGUUUAGAAAUGCCGACAAUACAUUAUGUGAGUAAUUUUUGUGAACUGCAAAACAGUGCAUAAAUAGAAAUUAUUUGCCUUGUGAUUAUAAUUUGUCAGAAUGCACAGAUCCUUUGUCUCCUUGAAGACCCUAAGAAUAAAAUAUUACAUCUGCUAUUGAAAUGGUAACUA
rnacentral:lncRNA from 1 species